rnacentral:rRNA from 1 species
GACGAACGCUGGCGGCGUGCUUAACACAUGCAAGUCGAGCGGAGCGGCGAACGGGUGAGUAACGCGUGAGUAACUGCCCCCCCCUCUGGGAUAACAGUUGGAAACGGCUGCUAAUACCGGAUAGUGGGGGAUGACUCGCGUCCUAUCAGCUUGUUGGUGGGGUAGUGGCCUACCAAGGCGACAACUGGUAGACGGACUGAGGGGGCGACCGGCCACAUGGGGCUGAGAUGCAGCCCAAACUCCUACGGGGGGCAGCAGGGGGGAAUGUUGCACAAGGGGGGAGACCCUGAUGGAGCAACGCCGCGUGCGGUAUGACGGCCAUCGGGUUGUAAACCGCUUUCAGCCAUGACGCGGUAGUGGCAGAAUGAGCACAGGCUAACUACGAGCCAGCAGCAGCGGUAAUAC